rnacentral:tRNA from 1 species
GCCAGAGUGGUGUAGUGGUUUAAGCACUGGAUUAUGAUUCUGGAGACCAGAGUUUGAAUCCCAGCUCAGCCA